CUUUUGUAGAUUGUGAAAAGCACACUAUCUCUUUUAUUCUUCUUUUAUUUACAGUCAUACUUUUUUUUAUAAAUAAAAUUGUUUUCUUCUUCUUUAUCUCUUUCAUCAUCUUCUUUUCUCUUUUCCUAUGUCGAUAAAGUGGUUAUGGAUCAAAUUAAACUGAUUUGAAACAAAGAAACAAAAAUCUAAGCGUGCAUACACCUCUCAAGUUCUGAUGGUGGAUUUUCUGAAUCAAAGUCUUAAUUCGUUGGUCUAUCUUAUUCUUCUCCAUCUCUACCUUCAUCCUCCACAAGAAUAACCACCAGAGAAAUAUCAUUAAAACGAGAUGUAGCCAUAAGUACAAAUGAAGGCAAAGAGAAAGUGGCUAAGAAACCCGAUGUAUCUCCACCUCCUGUUCAAUCUCCGUCUCAGCCGUAGAGGAAGCUAGAUGAUGUAAAUCCAGAGAGAUUGGAACUAAGUUGACCGCAGCUUGGCGAGUAUUGGCAUGGAGUCAAAGACAAGAAGCUAUUCAUGUGUACGCCGCGUGUAAGUUGUCAAUGUGUACGCCUUGUGUAAAUUGUCCAUGUGGACAUCUCAGUUGUCCAUGUGGACAUCUCAGUUGUCCAUGUGAACGACAUUUGGUGGGAAUGUCUUGUACUAAGUAAUAUUAUUAUAAUUUUUUUGAUUGUGAAAGCCAUGUAUAAGAAAUAUCAGAUGUUGCAUUGUCCGUACAUAUAUUCUUGAACACUUGUUUGGUACCACAAAUGCCAGCUGUGGCGCAUCGACCAAAAAACGGGUACCCAUUGUGUAUGAGAGAUAUACAACAUUGAAGCUGGCUUAGUAAGAAGAUUUGGUAUGUUUUAGAGGAGAAGCAUUGUCCAAGUAAAAUAAACACUCGCAUUUUUUGUUUGCAAGUGUUUUACAUGUACAUGUACUCGUAGGUGUCCACAUGUACGCAUGCACGUUGAUGUACACAUGUAUACUGAUGUUUAGUCUUCAAGACUUGAUUCAAUCAUAUUUAUUUAUGGUGUAAUAGUUGCAAAUAACUUAAUAAAAUACAAAUCUUUCCAUCUGAUUCAUCCAAUUUUCUUUUGAUAUGGAAAGUUUGGUAUCCAAUUCGAUCUAUGUUGCUAAGAAGGAAAAAAAUUGGAGCUUUUACAUACGUAGUGAGGACUUUUUUUUUUGGACAAACCGUAGUGAGGACUCUCUUUGCUUCAUAUAAGUGAAAAAUUGUAAUGAAAGUUUAAGAAGGAUUAUUAUCAAAGAAUUUAUAUUUAUCUUACGUCUCUUUUUUAAACUGAUGUACACGUGGACAGUCAAACAUUGUGUACACAUGGAUAGUCAAAUAUAUAUUUACACGUCGAUGGUAUUUGUCAGUAUAUAUGUAAAACAUUCAAAUGCUUUCAUAUGUGUGUAUUAGAUUACUAAAUGUUAAUAUUCAUUGCAACGGCAAAUCAUUGUCCAUCUUUUACUCUUUUGUACACAUAAAUGUACAUGUAGAUACUGAGAAUUAUGCGUACAUGUGGAAUACUAUUUUGUAACAGUAUAUAUGUUGAUCAGUGAAAACACAUCAAGAGACGUAAGAUAAAUAUAAAAUAUUUGAUAAUAAUCCUUCUUAAAUUUCAAUUACAACUUUUGACUAUCUAUGUGUACACAAUGUUUGACUGUCUACGUGUACAUCAGUUUAAAAAAUGUACAUGUACACUGAUUACAAACCAAACAAUGAUCUGUGUAAUUCACAAAGACGAAUAUGUGCAUUCAAAAAUUACAAAUCUUUACACCUUUAACGAUGACAACCGGAGUCGUUGUUCAGUUCAAUCAUAACCGCUUCAUUGAAAUUAUAAGGAAGCAGCCAUAUGCACAAACCGAGUUCAUCGAAGUUAUCUAUCCAUCACCAGAACGAUGGUUAAAUCCACAGUGGAAGAUGAGACGAGGAUUCCAAACGUUGAUGUUGAUGAUUCCAUACAAACUUGAUAUCUCAUAAUCAUACCUCACAUUUACCUUCGUCAUCCUUGUCGUCGCCGUCUUCAUCAUCAACUCUGUCAUCCUCUAUUUCCUCAUCUUAUUCUUCUACUGGUUCUAUAUGAGGCCGACUAAGGGUUGUAAAAUCGAACUCCAUCGUCACGUGUUUUUCAUCUUUAUCAUAAUCUUCAUCUUCUUCUCCACAUGAUUUGUUUUACAGAAAAAAAAUUGUACGAGAAAGACAAGAAAAGAAUUUAAGAGAUAAGGAAAGAGAAAGAGAAAGAGAAAAAGAGAUUGAUUUAUGGCCACAUAAUUCUUUUUUUUGGUAUUUUUGUUAGAUUUAAAAGAAAAAUAAUGAGAAAGGGUAAUAAUGAAUUUUCAUACGCUGAAAAGAGGAGAGAAGGUGUUGAAAUGAGAGAAAAAGUGUGUAGGUAGUUGAAACUGUCCUAGAGUGAAAUAAUAAACUCAAAAACUGCCUUCUAGUGUAAAUCUUUCUUUUUGUUUUUGUAUUUUAUUCUUCCAACAAGAAAAUACUUUAAAGCAAAUCUCCUAAGAAAAACACCGAAAACCUUUUUUGACCAAAAAGACGCAAAAGGAAAAUGAUUUUAAAUAAAUUUAUUAAAGAGGUAAAUGACAAGUAUACCAUUACUUUAUAUACGGUAAAACUCUAUAAAUUAAUAAUGUUAAGACAAGGAUAUUUUAUUAAUUUAUAUAAUUAUUAAUAUAAAAUAAAUUUUAUUGUAUUAUUUGGUGUACAUAAAAUAUGUUUCAUAUAAUUGAAGUGUUUUUCAAGAUGUAAUUUUACUAAAUGUUAUCAGAAUAUAUUAAAAAUGUUAAGAAAACAUAGAUAAAUUCUAUUGCUGAUAUAAAAUAAACAAUAUAUUAAUGUGUUUAUUAAUUUACUGAGUAUUAAUUUAUAUAGUUUCUACUGUAUAUAAAUAUAAAUAAAUAAUAAAAUAUUAUUUCCCAAAAGAAAUUUAUUCAAUAUUCAAAAACCUUUUUCAAACACAAAUUUCAAAUUUUCUUCUUUUUUCCAAAUUUUAUAUCGAAAUGUGAAAAUUCUUUAUUGAAAAUUUAAAAUUAUUAUUUAAAAUUUUAAAUCUUAAACUUUAAAUCCUAAACCCUAUCCCCAAACAUUACCCCUAAAUUUAAACCCUAAGUUUAGAUUAUUUAACCAUAAGGGUAAACUUAUCUAUUACUUCUUUAAUAAAAUAUUUGAUUAUUUUGAUCCUUGUAAGCUAUUUUGUGAUUAAAAAAUUAAUGCUAUCAUAUGGUUUAUCUAUUGGCCAUAUUAAAAGAGUAUUUUUAUUAUAAGAAAUUGAGAAAUACUCUAUGAUAAAUAUACAAAACUUUAUCACAAAAAUAGUUCUAAAAGUCAAAAUGAUCAAAAUAUGUUUUAUUAACGAGAUAAAAGAUAUUUUUACUGUUACAGUUAACUAAGUUUUUUAACACUGGUUAGUUAUGCUAUUACAAACUAUGAAAAACAUUACAUAUACGAUAUUACAGCCGACAAUUAUGUUUGUCUUAUGAGGAUUCAUGUCUGACUACAUCACCUAGAGUCGCCCUAUGAGAUCCAUUCCUGAUGGUACUCUUUGCGCCAUGUCGAAGAUCUCUUAUAAGCUUUUUCUCUAAUAUUCUGCAUAAUUUGCCUUCUACAGAAAUUGAAACUCAGAUCUCCUGAUUUAAAAACAUUAAUGAACCUUUAGUUAAACCACUGGUUCAAAGGGGCUUACGGUCAACUAAUCUAGACUAGGUUUUAGUUAGGGAGAUAGGUUUAUAGUGUUUAUAAAUUUAAAAUAAUAAUUUUUUUAAAAAAUAGGAAAAAAGUUAGGAAAAAAAUAAUCAUAGAGAACUGAUGUGUGGCGUCUAGAACGUGCACCUUGAAAACCAGCCCUUCAAAAAAUUUCAAUAAAAUCCAUGAGUCCUUCCUUUGCCUUGCAACAUCUUCUUCCACAGGUCAAUAGUUGAAACUCUUUCCGGAUGAACGUUGAAUAAUGCUUGAGAAACUAGGUUUACACAUCGGGAAAAUGUCGAUGGAAUUCUCUAUGAGCCUUGAGAACCAAGUCAAAGCCGGUCCGUUAAGAAUUUCCACGAACAAUUAAUAGUAUACUGCAUCUUUCUCUUCGACGGUAAAGUGUGCUUGUCCCACGGUUAUAUUGGACAUGGUCAUGUGAUCACUAGGAUCAGAUUCGCCUGAGAAAGAGGGAUCUUUAGCAUAUAUGUAGGACGAACUCGGCCAUUUUUUGGCAAGGGUGUCUUCUGUUUUUCUUUGAGGACACGCUCUAGCUCAGGAGCCGAACUCGUUACAGGUGAAAUUUUGACGAGCCAUCCAGUAUUGUGUCCCGAAGAACUUUGAUUUUUUGAAUCGUUGCCUGGUUGGUUUGAUGUGUCUGUUGAUUAAGAUAUUCCAUUAGUUUUUGCGUCAAUGUCAUCGUGGUGGUGACAUCCACAACCGGAAGGAUAGUGCAUGUCCCUCUUCGAUCAUCGUCUCCAGCCAUCUCUGAUAUUUCCUGGCAUUGCUUUGUAAUUCCACUCAAACGACGCCAAUCGUUUCAUCUCUUAACAUCGCCCAAGAAACACUUUCUAUCCUAUUCAUCAUCUCCCGCAACACUCCUCUCUCUCUCUAGCAUCACCUCUACACUCCUCUCUCCGGGCCAGGAUUGCCCAUAUGUCUCCUUACUCCUCAAAGGUGCCCAUACCUCCUCAUAACUCCUCAGCAUCACCCACUUCUCCAUUUGUCGUGUUCUUGCUCGAAUCUUGAUCGUUCUUCGUUUUAUCGCAAUCGUAGUUGUUGUUGAGAUUUUUUUCAAAAAAGUUAAUUUGUUUUUAGUUUUUGUAAAAUCUAGCCAACUGUAGAGUUGGAAACUGUUAUUUUAAACAUCUAAUAUGUUUUAGACAAAAUAAAAUGAUUUUUCUCUUUGUAAACUAACAGCACAAAAAAUGCAAUUCGGAGCAAAACGACGAUAUUUCCAAGAAUAGUCAGCGAAACCUUAAUUCUCAAAACAGUCCAAAACAAUCUAAAGCACGAAACAGAACUUUUCACUUAACGUGUAAAGUAACCAAAUAUUAAUGACAUUUUACUUUACUUAGAGAGGAAUAAAGAAGAAAUUAAGAUAAUGAAAGAUUUUCGAAAGAGAUAAACUCGACUCUCGACAAAGAAAGGAAAAUAUCAGAGGAAAUAUGGAAACAAAGCAGAUGUGGAUCAAUGGCAAUAUGGUCGGCCUUGGAAGAAUAUAUAAACAAGGCUAGGCCAGAGAAAAAGGGGGCAAAAAAUUAGCUCUCGAAAGUCUAUGCACUAAAGAAACCUUAAGUUUUAUUUUUGUCUGUUUGCUAAUGAGCUGCAACCCACCUAGGAUUUCUAGGCUUAUGUGGUUAGUCUAGCGAACUUAGAUAGAUUUCGCUACUUUCGCUUAUUCGACUUCCGUUGUAAUUUUGCUAUCCAGAUCUCCUAGUAUAUAAGCAUUAAUGAUAUGUGAUGUCUAAAACGUGCACCUUGAACAAAAUUUUGGUUUGGGUUUAGUUUGGGUUUCAAGUUCAGGUUUUUUUGCUGAGGCCUAACCCUACCAACAUAAGAGAGUUUAAGUGAGGAAAUUUUAUUUAUCAAUUUUGUUUCCUAAGAUUAUCAUAUAGUUCUUCAGACAAGUGUAGAAAGGGCAGAAGAAAAGUAAAAUUAAUUCAAAUAUACAAUAAGCAUCAACUAACAUCGACUUAGAAACAAAAUUCCACAUUGACUUAGUGAACAUAUGCAUCCCAAUCCUAAAAUUGUAAACUCUAUGUUUCAUACGUUUACGAUUAGAUUAUAGGUCAAAUACAUAAGGACAAUAAUAUUUAUGUAUAAAUAUAAACUAGGUGUUUGCCCGCAAUUUUGCGGAUAGUUAUAUUAUAUAAAGAUAUAUAUCUUAACUUUACACUGUUAUAUUUUUUGAAUAAUAAUUAGAAAUUUAAAAUAUUUGGAUAAUCAAAUAUUUGGAUAAUCAAAAAUUUGGAUAAUCAAAAAUUUCAGUAUAUAUUUUUAGAAAAUAUGUGAAAUUUAAAAUAGUUCAAAAACAUAAACCUUAGUCAUUAAAAUUUUUUCUCUUACAGAAAAGAAUAUUAUAAUUAAUUCAGAUAAUUGGUGGUAAAAUUACUUUAUAUUUUAGUUUAACACAUGAAAAACCGAAAAUACUCUAGCUCUCAAGAGAGAGAAAAAAAAAGAGUGCAUUUUUUGUGUAACUUCAAUAUGACCAAUACAAUGAUCGUAGGCUUUUAUCAUGAAAGAUCUUUUGUAAACAGUUUUGUGUGGGCUUUAAAAACAUAAAAUUUAUAAUAAUUUCUUACCUACAAAUAUAAUUCUUUUAUAUAAUAAUAUAUAACCAUUGAAUUUAUUUUCUAUAAAAAUACUAAAGUAGUUUGUUUAAUUAUAUAUAACUAAUUGAUAAAAAUAAAGAAAUUGAUA